GGGUGCAUAAAAUUCUUUAUUUAUAACAAUAAAGUAUAUGUAUAUAUAAUGUAAUUUCAAAUUCAAACCUGUAUAAAAAAGGGUCAGAACAUAUACCUAUUUUAAAAAGUACACAUACAGUACAUACACAUACACAUCACAUUUUACAACUUUUUUUAUUUAAUUAAACUUCAGUCAUAAUAAAACUAUAGAAUAGUGUUGAAAGACAUUUACAUUACAAUAUGCAAACUCCAAUCUAUGACUGAACUAGCAAUAUAUCUAUACAUCCAUCUAAAUGUCUGAAUACUUUAAGUCCAUUGAUUUAAAAAAAAAACAGUGGCAAGUGGACACUAUAAUCACACAUUAAUCCUUAGAAUAUAGGAGAAUAGGAUGUUUUGAUUGGAAACUUUUAUUGAGUCACAGCUCAGAAAUUAAGCAACUGAAAAUACUAUGGUUUUUAGUUUAAACAAUGUUAUUUAAAAAAAUACA
rnacentral:lncRNA from 1 species